GCACAAGCGGUGGAUGAUGUGGAUUAAUUCGAUGACACGACGAAAACCUUACCCUUACCCUUGACAUCGCCGAACGGAACCCGUGCUGAGAGGUGGGGUGCUCGAAAGAGAGCCUGGACACAGGUGCUGCAUGGCUGUCGUCAGCUCGUGUUGUGAGAUGUUGGGUUAAGUCCCGCAACGAGCGCAACCCUUGUCAUUAGUUGCCAUCAUUCAGUUGGGCACUCUAAUGAGACUGCCGGUGACAAACCGGAGGAAGGUGGGGAUGACGUCAAGUCCUCAUGGCCCUUAUGGGUAGGGCUUCACACGUCAUACAAUGGUCGGUACAGAGGGUUGUCAAGCCGCGAGGUGGAGCCAAUCCCAGAAAGCCGAUCGUAGUCCGGAUCGGAGUCUGCAACUCGACUCCGUGAAGUCGGAAUCGCUAGUAAUCGCGGAUCAGCAUGCCGCGGUGAAUACGUUCCCGGGUCUU
rnacentral:rRNA from 1 species